rnacentral:rRNA from 1 species
CCCUUAGAUGUUCUGGGCCGCACACGCGCUACACUGAAGGAGGCAGCGUGUACUCCUGGAUCGAAAGAUUUGGGUAACCCGCGAAUCUCCUUCGUGCUAGGGAUUGAGGUUUGCAAUUAUCCUUCAUGAACGAGGAAUUCCUAGUAAACGCAGAUCAUCAAUCUGCAUUGAUUACGUCCCUGCCCUUUGUACACACCGCCCGUCGCACCUACCGAUUGGAUGGUCCGGUGAAGCCUCGGGAUUGUGGUUCUUGCCGCUUUAUUGUGGCGUGACCGCGAGAACUUGUCUAAACCUUAUCAUCUAGAGGAAGGUGAAGUCGUAACA